UGAAAUUCUAUGGGGAUACACAGCUAUGUGC
rnacentral:piRNA from 1 species